rnacentral:rRNA from 1 species
AUUGAACGCUGGCGGCAUGCCUUACACAUGCAAGUCGAACGGCAGCACGGGAGCAAUCCUGGUGGCGAGUGGCGAACGGGUGAGUAAUAUAUCGGAACGUGCCCGGUCGUGGGGGAUAACGUAGCGAAAGCUACGCUAAUACCGCAUACGAUCUACGGAUGAAAGCGGGGGAUCGCAAGACCUCGCGCGAUUGGAGCGGCCGAUAUCAGAUUAGGUAGUUGGUGAGGUAAAGGCUCACCAAGCCGACGAUCUGUAGCUGGUCUGAGAGGACGACCAGCCACACUGGGACUGAGACACGGCCCAGACUCCUACGGGAGGCAGCAGUGGGGAAUUUGGACAAUGGGCGCAAGCCUGAUCCAGCAAUGCCGCGUGCAGGAUGAAGGUCUUCGGGUUGUAAACUGCUUUGUACGGAACGAAACGGUGAGCUCUAAUACAGUUUGCUAAUGACGGUAUCGUAAGAAUAAGCACGGCUAACUACGU